UACGGGGGGAGCAAACGUUGUUCGGAAUCACUGGGUGUAAAGGGUGCGUAGGCGGGAAGGUAAGUCCGCGGUGAAAUCUCACGGCUCAACCGUGAAACUGCCGUUGAUACUGCUUUUCUUGAGUUCGGGAGAGGUUGAUGGAAUUCCAGGUGUAGCGGUGAAAUGCGUAGAUAUCUGGAAGAACACCAGUGGCGAAGGCGGUCAACUGGCCCGUAACUGACGCUGAGGCACGAAAGCGUGGGGAGCGAACAGG
rnacentral:rRNA from 1 species